ensembl:lncRNA
GCUACAGCAAUCAAUUGAAAACUUUAGAGACUAAUAACUCCUUUCGACAUACGGUCAUGGAACUUUGUGCGCCCAUCACCAGAUCCAAGCUGAGGCUAUUUCAGCGCUGUCAACCGUACACAAACAAAAAGGGUGAGACCCCCAGAGGAGGGCGCAGCCCGGGCCCCACAUCCUCUCCAGCCGGAUCAGGAAACUCCCGGGGUAUCCGAAGCCCCGCCCCCGACGGGACGACCUGACAUCCUGCUGUCAGUUGGACAGCAG